UGGCUAACUCCUACGGGAGGCAGCAGUGGGGAAUUUUGGAAAAUGGGGGCAACCCUGACCCAGCAAUGCCGCGUGAGUAAAGAAGGCCUUCGGGUUGUAAAGCUUUUUUGUCAGGGAAGAAACGGUAGUAGCUAAUAUCUAUUACUAAUGACGGUACCUGAAGAAUAAGCACCGGCUAACUUCGUGCCAGCAGCCGCGGUAAUACGUAGGGUGCAAGCGUUAAUCGGAAUUACUGGGCGUAAAGCGUGCGCAGGCGGUUGUGUAAGUCAGAUGUGAAAUCCCCGGGCUCAACCUGGGAAUUGCAUUUGAGACUGCACGGCUAGAGUGCGUCAGAGGGUGGUAGAAUUCCGCGUGUAGCAGUGAAAUGCGUAGAUAUGUGGAGGAAUACCGAUGGCGAAGGCAGCCCACUGGGAUAACACUGACGCUCAUGCACGAAAGCGUGGGGAGCAAACAGGAUUAGAAACCCUUGUAGUCCAGCUGG
rnacentral:rRNA from 1 species